GCCUUCGUGGUGCAGUGGCCAGCACACUCGACGCGAAACCGAGAAGUCCGUGGUUCGAUUCCCGGCGAAGGCG
rfam:Stegodyphus mimosarum contig6560, whole genome shotgun sequence.